CAGCCGCCGCGGUAAUACAGAGGAUGCAAGCGUUAUCCGGAAUGAUUGGGCGUAAAGCGCGCGCAGGUGGUUUAAUAAGUCUGAUGUGAGAGCCCACGGCUCAACCGUGGAGGGUCAUUGGAAACUGUUAAACUUGAGUGCAAGAGGGGAGAGUGGAAUUCUAUGUGUAGCAGUGAAAUGCGUAGAUAUAUGGAGGAACACCGGUGGCGAAAGCGGCUCUCUGGCUUGCAACUGACGCUGAGGCUCGAAAGCGUGGGGAGCAAACAGGAUUAGAUACCCCCGUAGUCCCUGUCUCUUAUAC
rnacentral:rRNA from 1 species